GGCCAUACAAGUUUGCCCAAUUACAAAUAAAACCACAAAACGAUAAAUAAAACAUCUGUGAAAAAAUACUAAUGAGCACAAACCAUCAAACAGCCUAUCAGUUGAAUAAUGUAUGCAAUCCUAUAGACUAGAAGAAUCAUUCAAAGUUACAAACAUCAUAGUUAUCAGGCUAAAAAAAUUAUGUACAGCACUAUCAAUACAAUACAAAAGAAAAAGUCAGUUCAACAUUUUGCAAAAAGAUCAUAUCUUUUUCCCAUCAGCAUCAUUCCAUCUCGUGAAACACCAGAUCCUUCAAAGGAAGUACAACUUCAGAUCAAAAGAAGGUAGAACUUCAGAUGAUGAACUAAUAUAAUAAAUUGAGCAGAACUUUCUGCAUAUCAAAUACGUUAGAUCAAUGUCAAAGAAACUUAUACUUACCAUUGUCAUCCACCUUAACAUAG
rnacentral:misc_RNA from 1 species